rnacentral:lncRNA from 10 species
CUUCUGCCAUGAUGUGAGGCUUCCCUAGCCACAUGGAACGUGUUGGGCUGGCUGUCAACAGAAGACACUUGCAUUCUCAUGAGGGCAUACUUGAGGAGCCAGCCUGGGAAGGAGAUAUGAACAAAAAGAGCCAAAUAGAAAGGAAAAAUUAUAUCUACAACAAAAGCAGCAGACAGCUAAAUUCCACAUCACUGACUACUGAAGAAUAUCUCCUAGAAGCAAGAUCACUUGAACCAAAUUAAUUGAAGAUGGAUGUUCAGACCUUUCUCCUAUAUCCUCUGAUAUUGGGAAAGAAGCAAAUUUCAAAUCAGUGGAUUAAAAAGAGUCUUACUACUAAUCUUUAACCUGAUGCAGUAAGGAUUAACUCUAUGGAUGGAUUAAGGAGAAACAGAGAGAACAUUGACUGGGGCACCAUUCGGUUUCAAAGAAUGACAAGAAAGGUGAUGUUAAAAGGAGAUCAUGUAUUCCCACCGCCUUUAUUGUUCACGACCUGGUCCCAGACUAGGAUAACUUUCAGAAUGGCAAGGGUCCUAAGAGGGUACACUCAGAACCAGUAUGUUUACAUAACAGAGGAUUAAUCAGUUUGGCAGGAAAAUAAUUAACAUUAAGGAUGCUUGCUGGCUGUUUCUGGGCUCACUCCACAUUCCUACAGCUGAAAGAUCAACCAGAGACCAAGGGAUGAAUAUUGAUGUAAAAAUCCAAAAUAAUAUAUUAAAAAAUAGGAUCCCUGAAGGACAUUUAAAAAGAAUACCUUAUGUUCAAGUGGAGUUUAUCUAGUAAUGCAAGGAUGAUUUAACUUAGGAAAUAAAGGAAUAGCAGAAGUUAAAUGAUACCACAAGAAAAUAAUCGACAUUCUGUAAGAUAACUGGUCAUUUUUCUUCAGAAGUCAGUGCCAUGGGACAAAAAAUAGAUACUUUUCUCGAUAAAAGAGUCUGGAAAAAUGUAACAAUCAAAUGUAAUGCAUGGCACUUGAUUAAAUCCUGGUUUGAGAAAAGCAAAUAUGAGACAGUUUUUUUAGAUAAUUGUAAAAAUGUGAAUAUAAAUGGGCCUUAUAUAAUAGUAGAAAAUUAUUAUUUAUUUUAAGAUAUGGUAAUGGUAUUGUGGUUAUGUAAAGAUAAUGUCAUUUUUCUUAGAAGUUGCUAACGUAUUUAGGGGUGAAGUGUUAUGAUGUCUGCAUCUUAUUUUUAAAUGGUUAAAGCAAAGAAAGUAGAAAGAAUAUGGCAAAAUGCAAAUAAUUUUUGAAUCUAGGUAAUGGAUAUGGGUGUUUGUUGUACUAUUUUUUGUAUUGUUUUUAUGCUGGCCAUAAUUUUAAAAAUUGGAGGUAAAAGAAUACACUUAAAUAUAUGAAACAAUUGAAG